UAUCUCUGCUGUAUUCUUUGGAUAGUGUAAGUCAAUAUUGUAGGAAACAGAAUAGCUGAAGCGGAAGGUGAAGCUGGCAUGAGCAAGACACGAAAGGUGUAAGACACCCAGGAUGUUCCAGUAGCAAACAUGCAACCCAAAGGCGCUGCCUUCAAUGCUUCUGUUGCAUCAUAAACGUGCUCUUUCUAGCAUGUGCAAGGUGUAGAACAAAAGCUGAACAGGAAACGCCUAGUUGUUCUUUGAAUUUUCCAAGUCAUGGUUAUGAGAUUUGUCGUACUCAGCCACACCUUCUUUUGAUGGGCUGAGGAGUGAGUAUCCAGCGAUAGAGACUUCUCAGACUGGUAUCAAUGGAAGUGAAAAUACGGCCGUAAUGAAGGCCAGUAUCAACUAUUUUUGUCAUUGCCUAAAGCCAGAGGACAGCUCAGCAAAUAUAUCCAGCUACGCACCACACAGCAGAGGAAAGCAAGAGGAUCUUCUGAACUGCAUGUCCUUGGGCUAUUGCCCUCUUGUGUCCUGAUUAACAUAAUCAUUGACCCUUGAUCUUUCAUUGCCACUGUGUGGCAUGUCCCCAGGUGCUUCCUCCUCCUUGAGACUCCUUGUCCUUACCAUUUUACACUGUUUCUUUGAGAGCACGGCUGGUUUUCACCUCCCUGCUCCUCAGUGCUUUCAAAUUGAUUGAGGGUAUGGUAAAGAGGAUGAUUUGUGGGACUGCAGAACAGAUCACGAACGAUAUUCUGAGAGGUGGAUUUGAAGUGAAUUAAGCUCUCUCCUGAAGGGCCUGUUAUCAUUACAGGCAAAUACAUGUUCAUAUAAGCAAUAGCUGCCAUGGGAAUAGAAUUAAAGCUUCCUUUAUAAAGCCUCUAACUCUAAGUUAACUGCAGGCUCGUCUGUUGCCUGGUACGUGAUAAUGGGCAAUUGCAAAGCCAGGUACAGCCUGUACUGUCUCUGCAAUUUAAAUGCCACUAGUGGCUAUGGAGGAGAUGGGAGCACAGGUAUUGCUGCCAGCACUGAGAUUGUCCUUGUAAUGGUACUUACAGGGACCAUCAUUCAUGGAGAUAUCUGAGUCUAAAAAGAAACAGAGGAGAGAACUAAGUCUGUGCUGUCAGUUUUCUUGAGGAAGAAUAUUAAUUCAGAAAAGAACCUAGAGCUCUUUGGGUCCAUGUUGUCUCACAGAUGCCUGCCUAUGCUUUACCUGGGCAAGCCAUGGAUGGCAGGUCCAGCAUAUGCAGCUUCGUAACGAUCAUAUUGCCUUCCUCCCAGACCAUAAAAUGCCUGUGCUGCCUGCCAUUAAAACCAGGGGCUGCCAAUCCUCCAUGUUCCUCAUAGUACUGCUCCGUGCUGCAUUUUUACAUGCACCCAAGUGCCUUUCCUGUUGCCUUAUGGGAAAACUUUUAACCACCGUGGCCGGUUAAAGGUGAAUGACUUGGGAAGGUGUGAUACGAUGUAUUGUGGUAAGGUUUUCCAGAAAGUAAAAGUAACGGAAAUGGUGCCCAGAUUUUUUGGCGUCAACAAAAUGGUUUACUUUGGGCAGGGAUUUAUAUUCUCUCAGUUCCUAGAAGUUUUGACUGCCAAGGCAUCUGGAAUGGAGCCAGCCAAACUCAUAAAAUAAUGUGUCAAAAGAAAAAGAAAAUGUGAUGAAACCUUGGCACCUUAAACCAUUCUUUCUUUUCCUUCUUGAUCUCAUAUAAGCUGAUCUAUGAACAAGAAGUGAGGUCUGGCAAUUUGUAUAUAGUACGCUCUUAACGGUGUUCCAGUAAGUAAUAGUACUUCUGGCAUAAUUGGGGAAGUUUCUGCAACAGAAAAUUACUGGAAAAUUAUAUGUAAUAUUAAAGGUCAGCCUCAAAUGAAAUCUGUAUCCAGACUGUACUUUUAAAAGGUGUUUCAGAAUUUGAGCUCAGAUUCAGGUCUUGGGUUUUAAUUAAGCACAGAUUCUGUAAUGAUAUUUUCAUUGUGUAGCUAUUUACAGUUUACUCAGUUAACAAUUUCAACUCCAGCCUUCAGCUGAUAUCAGACUUCCAAGAUCCUAGCCAAGGGGGUGUAAUUCAGGCACAUCAUGAUAGCUUUAUGGUCAUAAGCGGGCUUGUAUCAUGAG
ensembl:lncRNA